AGUGAACGCUGGCGGUAGGCCUAACACAUGCAAGUCGAACGGCAGCACAGUAAGAGCCUGCUCUUACGGGUGGCGAGUGGCGGACGGGUCACGAAUACAUCCGAACCUACUUUUUCGUGGGGGAUAACGGAGGGGAACCUACGCUAAUAUCGCAUACGACCUACGGGUUAAUGCAGGGGAUCUUUCGAGCUUUCGCGAUUGAACGCGCCGUUGUCGGAUAGCUAGUUGGCGGGGUAAAGGCCCACCAAGGCGACGAACCGUAGCUGGUCUGAGAGGAUGAUCAGCCACACUGGAACUGAGACACGGUCCAGACUCCUACGGGAGGCAGCAGUGGGGAAUAUUGGACAAUGGGCGCAAGCCUGAUCCAGCCAUACCGCGUGGGUGAAGAAGGCCUUCGGGUUGUAAAGCCCUUUUGUUGGGAAAGAAAAGCAGCAGGUUAAUACCCCGCUGUUCUGACGGUACCCAAAGAAUAAGCACCGGCUAACUUCGUG
rnacentral:rRNA from 1 species